AUAACUAAGCGGUGGAAAAGAAACCAAACGGGAUUCCCUGAGUAACGGCGAGCGAAAAGGGAAAAGUCCAGCGCCAAGUCUUGACACCUCGAUGUGCUCAAGAGAUGCGGCGUUAAUGUGUUGGCGCAUCGUGCAUUGCUCCACGUUUCAAGUUCCUUUGACAGGGACAUCCAAAGCGGGUGCUAGGCCCAUAGAGAUGAGGAGCGGAUGCAUGCAAACCAAUACAUUCUAGAGUCAGGUUGCUUGAGAGUGCAGCCUAAAGUGGGUGGUAAACUCCAUCUAAGACUAAAUAUGACAGCGAGACCGAUAGCAAACAAGUACCGUGAGGGAAAGUUGCAAAGUACUUUGAAGAGAGAGUUCAAUAGGACGUGAAACCACUGGGAGGCAAACAGAUGGAACCACGAAGUGUGCGCUUCGGUCGAUUCAAUCAUUACUGUUGGUUGGCUGCGUUUGUUGUGGGUCUUUUAGGAGACCGGUCAAAUGUGGUCUACAAUCGAUGGCAAUGGUGCAUUUCGUUCCGGAGAUGCUAAGCCACGUUCGACUAGAUGGCUGGGACGGCCGUAGGACGAGGACCGAGGAAGGUGCCCGUCAAAUGCUUGCAUUUGGCGGCGUUAUAGACUCGGACCGGAACCGUCGCCUAGUGAACUGGUCGAUAAAAGUGCCCCGUACGGGGUUGAACCGAAUCUGCUUCGUAUCGUUAGUAGAUAUGUAAGAUCGUAUUUUACGCAUCUUUGGGUGUGAAAAAUUCAGUCUGACCGUAUUUAUUAAUGAUGUGUUGCGUGAUUCGGUGGAACUGUGGCGCGAGUAGGUCGGUGUCCAUCUGACCCGUCUUGAAACACGGACCAAGGAGCCUAACAUAUACGCGAGUCGCUCGGUCUUGAAUAGGCCCGGGAGGCGCAAUGAAAGUAUUAAUCUACGAGACGGUAACACGUCGCAGUACUGGCUCGCCUGCUUCGUUUAUUGGCGAUUUGGCGAAACCGGAGCGUAUACGUUGGUACCCGAAAGAUGGUGAACUAUGCCUGGGCAAGACGAAGCCAGAGGAAACUCUGGUGGAGGUCUGUAGCGAUUCUGACGUGCAAAUCGAUCGUCAGACCUGGGUAUAGGGGCGAAAGACUAAUCGAACCAUCUAGUAGCUGGUUCCCUCCGAAGUUUCCCUCAGGAUAGCAGGCGCUUGUAGAUUCAGUCUCAUCCGGUAAAGCUAAUGAUUAGAGGUCUUGGGGUUGAAACGACCUCAACCUAUUCUCAAACUUUAAAUGGGUGACAUGGUUGACUUUCUUGAUUGAAGCCAGCCGAUAUGAUGUAAGUGCCUAGUGGGCCAUUUUUGGUAAGCAGAACUGGCGCUGUGGGAUGAACCAAACGUCGAGAUAAGGCAUCAAAUGCAUACGCUCAUCAGACCCCAUGAAAGGUGUUGGUUGCUAUAGACAGCAGGACGGUGGCCAUGGAAGUCGGAAUCCGCUAAGGAGUGUGUAACAACUCACCUGCCGAAGCAACUAGCCCUGAAAAUGGACGAUGCUGUAGCGUGGAGCCGAUACUCGACCGUAAUGACGAUACUAGAGAGAAUGCGAUGUCAUUACGAGUAGGAGGGCCGCGGUGAUAGCGUUGAAGGUGUCAGACGUGAGUCUGCCUCGAGCUGUCACCGGUGCAGAUCUUGGUGGUAGUAGCAAUUACUCAAGUGAGAAUCUUGAGGACUAACGUGGAGAAGGGUUCCAUGUGAACAGCAGUUGGACAUGGUUCAGUCGGUCCUAAGGGGGCGGAGAAAUCCGUUGAAACAGCCCGAUUAUAUUAUUAUUGAUUAAUUGAUGAUACCGUGGCUGAAUCCCCGAAAGGGAAUCGGGUCAAUAUUCCCGAACUGAGACAGGGAGGUCGUGCUCUCGGGCACUAAUGCGGUAACGCGAUCAAAUUCGGAGACGUCGGCGGCAGUCCCGGGAAGAGUUGUCUUUUCUCUAUAAGGUGUUGAAUCCAUGAAAACAGCUUGUCUGGAGAUAUGGAUGUUGACACCGAAGAGCUCAGCGGUUCUUGCUGAGUCCGGUGCGCUGUUGUCGGUCCUUGAAAAUCCGAAGGCGAGGUUUACCUCCGUGCUCAGCCGUACCAAUAUCCGCAGCAGGUCUCCAAGGUUAACAGCCUCUAGUUUCUAGAAUAAUGUAGGUAAGGGAAGUCGGCAAAACUGAUCCGUAACUUCGGGAUAAGGAUUGGCUCUGAAGGAUGGGCCGGUCGGGCUGUGGUCAGAAACGGGUGAUGCGCCCGGCUGGGACUGGAAGCUGGCUUAACGGUCGGUCUCCGGACCUAAGUUGGCGUCUGCCUGCGGACGGCCAUGGCUACGCCUUGGUGCCCCGUGUGCCGAGUGUCGUUUCGGCCGGCAUGAAACAUCUGAAUCAGAACUGGCACGGACCCCGGGAAUCCGACUGUCUAAUUAAAACAAAGCAUUGCGAUGGCCGGAGAUCGGUGUUGACGCAAUGUGAUUUCUGCCCAGUGGUAUGAAUGUCAAUGUGAAGAAAUUCAC
rnacentral:rRNA from 1 species